UACGAAGGGGGCUAGCGUUGCUCGGAAUCACUGGGCGUAAAGCGCACGUAGGCGGAUUGUUAAGUCAGGGGUUAAAUCCUGGAGCUCAACUCCAGAACUGCCUUUGAUACUGGCGAUCUCGAGUCCGGGAGAGGUGAGUGGAACUGCGAGUGUAGAGGUGAAAUUCGUAGAUAUUCGCAAGAACACCAGUGGCGAAGGCGGCUCACUGGCCCGGUACUGACGCUGAGGUGCGAAAGCGUGGGGAGCAAACAGG
rnacentral:rRNA from 1 species